GAUGAACGCUGGCGGCGUGCCUAAUACAUGCAAGUCGAGCGAACUGAUUAGAAGCUUGCUUCUAUGACGUUAGCGGCGGACGGGUGAGUAACACGUGGGCAACCUGCCUGUAAGACUGGGAUAACUUCGGGAAACCGAAGCUAAUACCGGAUAGGAUCCUCUCCUUCAUGGGAGAUGAUUGAAAGAUGGUUUCGGCUAUCACUUACAGAUGGGCCCGCGGUGCAUUAGCUAGUUGGUGAGGUAACGGCUCACCAAGGCAACGAUGCAUAGCCGACCUGAGAGGGUGAUCGGCCACACUGGGACUGAGACACGGCCCAGACUCCUACGGGAGGCAGCAGUAGGGAAUCUUCCGCAAUGGACGAAAGUCUGACGGAGCAACGCCGCGUGAGUGAUGAAGGCUUUCGGGUCGUAAAACUCUGUUGUUAGGGAAGAACAAGUACGAGAGUAACUGCUCGUACCUUGACGGUACCUAACCAGAAAGCCACGGCUAACUACGUGCCAGCCGCCGCAGUAAUAC
rnacentral:rRNA from 1 species